UAGGUUUUGUUCUUGAUUUCAGAACAAAUUAAAAGGGAAUUUGGUGAGAAUCCAAAACUGUUCCCGCAACUGUAUACUACAAGCUUUUUGUGCACUUCAUGUCACUGGAUAACCCGGGAAGACUCAUAAAAAGACGUUAGUCAGGAGACCUGCCAUCUUCAU
rnacentral:ncRNA from 1 species